CUACGGGAUGCACCAGUGGGGAAUAUUGGACAAUGGGGGAAACCCUGAUCCAGCAAUGCCGCGUGUGUGAAGAAGGCCUGCGGGUUGUAAAGCACUUUCGGUUGGGAGGACUGCUUCUAGCACUAAUAUUGUUGGAAGUUGACGUUACCUUCAGAAGAAGCACCGGCUAACUCCGUGCCAGCAGCCGCGGUAAUACGGAGGGUGCAAGCGUGAAUCGGAAUUACUGGGCGUAAAGCGCGCGUAGGCGGCUAGAUCAGUCGGGUGUGAAAGCCCCGGGCUUAACCUGGGAACUGCAUCCGAUAAUGUCUAGCUUGAGUACAGGAGAGGAGAGUGGAAUUCCACAUGUAGCGGUGAAAUGCGUAGAUAUGUGGAGGAACACCAAUGGCGAAGGCAGCUCUCUGGCCUGAUACUGACGCUGAGGUGCGAAAGCGUGGGGAGCAAACAGGAUUAGAUACCCGCGUAGUC
rnacentral:rRNA from 1 species